rnacentral:pre_miRNA from 1 species
UUGGAGGAUUUGAAGACUUCAACUUGCAUACAUGGGUGCACCUACAGUGGGUCUUUUUGUUCAUAUGAACCCAUUUCGUUGGAGACUUCAACUUGCAUACUUUGAGGAUUUGAAGAGUCUAACU